rnacentral:rRNA from 1 species
GAUGAACGCUAGCUACAGGCUUAACACAUGCAAGUCGAGGGGAAACGGCAUCGAAAGCUUGCUUUUGAUGGGCGUCGACCGGCGCACGGGUGAGUAACGCGUAUCCAACCUGCCCAUCACUUGGGAAUAACCUUGCGAAAGUAAGACUAAUGCCCAAUGACAUCCCACGAAGGCAUCCGAAUGGGAUUAAAGAUUUAUCGGUGAUGGAUGGGGAUGCGUCUGAUUAGCUUGUUGGCGGGGUGACGGCCCACCAAGGCAACGAUCAGUAGGGGUUCUGAGAGGAAGCUCCCCUACAUUGGAGCCACGACACGGUCCAAACUCGUACGGGAGGCAGCAGUAAGGAAUACUAAGCGAGGAACGAGAGCCUGAACCAGCCAAGUAGCUUACAGGAUGACGGCCCUAUGAGUGGUAAACUGCUUUUAUAAGAGAAUAGAGUGAGUCACGGGUGACUUUUUGCAUGUACCUUAUGAAUAAGGCCCGGCUAAUUCCGUG